rnacentral:rRNA from 1 species
AUUGAACGCUGGCGGCAGGCCUAACACAUGCAAGUCGAACGAGUGGCGGACGGGUGAGUAAUGUCUGGGAAACUGCCCGAUGGAGGGGGAUAACUACUGGAAACGGUAGCUAAUACCGCAUACCAUCGGAUUUGCCCAGAUGGGAUGAGCUAGUAGGUGGGGUAACGGCUCACCUAGGAGACGACCCCUAGCUGGCCUGAGAGGAUGACCGGCCACACGGGAACUGAGCACCGGUCCAGACCCCUACGGGAGGCAGCAGUGGGGAAUAUGGCACAAUGGGCGCAAGCCGGAUACAGCCAUGCCGCGUGUAUGAAGAAGGCCUUCGGGUUGUAAAGUACUUUCAGCGAGGAGGCGUUACUCGCAGAAGAAGCACCGGCUAACUCCGUGCCAGCAGCCGCGGUAAUAC